rnacentral:rRNA from 1 species
CCUACGGUGGCUGCAGUGGGGAAUAUUGGACAAUGGGCGAAAGCCUGAUCCAGCCAUGCCGCGUGUGUGAAGAAGGCCUUCGGGUUGUAAAGCACUUUCAGUGGGGAAGAAAGCCUUGGGGCUAAUACCCUCGAGGAAGGACAUCACCCACAGAAGAAGCACCGGCUAACUCCGUGCCAGCAGCCGCGGUAAUACGGGGGGUGCGAGCGUUAAUCGGAAUUACUGGGCGUAAAGCGCGCGUAGGCGGUCUGAUAAGCCGGUUGUGAAAGCCCCGGGCUCAACCUGGGAACGGCAUCCGGAACUGUCAGGCUAGAGUGCAGGAGAGGAAGGUAGAAUUCCCGGUGUAGCGGUGAAAUGCGUAGAGAUCGGGAGGAAUACCAGUGGCGAAGGCGGCCUUCUGGACUGACACUGACGCUGAGGUGCGAAAGCGUGGGUAGCAAACAGGAUUAGAUACCCCAGUGUC